GAUGAAGAACGUAGCGAAAUGCGAUAAGUAAUGUGAAUUGCAGAAUUCAGUGAAUCAUCGAAUCUUUGAACGCACAUUGCGCCCAUUAGUAUUCUAGUGGGCAUGCCUGUUCGAGCGUCAUUUCAACCCUAAAGCCUCUGUUGCUUAGCGUUGGGAGCCUACCUACCCGGUAGAUCCUCAAAGUUAGCUGGCAGGGUCGAGGUUCGCCCUAAGCGUAGUAGUUCUUUCUCGCUUCUGCGGCUGCCUAGGCCAUCGCCACAAGCCUUUUAAACUUCAAUGGUUGACCUCGGAUCAGGUAGGAAUACCCGCUGAACUUAAGCAUAUCAAUAAGCGGAGGA
rnacentral:misc_RNA from 1 species